CAGUCGCCACGGGAAUGCAGAGGAUGCAAGCGUUAUCCGGAAUGAUUGGGCGUAAAGCGUCUGUAGGUGGCUUUUCAAGUCCGCCGUCAAAUCCCCGGGCUCAACCCUGGACAGGCAGUGGAAACUACCAAGCUGGAGUAUGGUAGGGGCAGAGGGAAUUUCCAGUGGAGCGGUGAAAUGCGUUGAGAUUGGAAAGAACACCAAUGGCGAAAGCACUCUGCUGGGCCGACACUGACACUGAGAGACGAAAGCUAGGGGAGCAAAUGGGAUUAGAUACCCCCGUAGUCCCUGUCUCUUAUAC
rnacentral:rRNA from 1 species